GCCAGGGAGGCACCCGCCGAGAAGGCCCUAGAUGCCGCCGCCCCUCGAACCGAAUGGGCCCCGAAACUAGCAUCUAUCCCGGCUAGGGACAAUAACCACCGUAUCCAUCUAGCUAAUGUAGUAGUGGUAACUGGUUUGUAUGGUCUGGUAUAUGAGAUUAACAGUUGUCCCGUUCCGUUAGCCCGAAGAGGCGCCGUAACCUCCACAUAACGGAGUAAGGUGGAGACGACACAAAGACGAGGAACCGCCGGAAAAAAGGGGUAGGACACGGAUUUGGAGUCCGUCUUAGUCCUUCGGGAUAUCAAAA